UGCAUUCAUUACUGUAAGUCGCUCUGGAUAAGAGCUUCUGCUAAAUGACUAAAA
rfam:Salmo salar isolate Sally breed double haploid chromosome ssa20, whole genome shotgun sequence.